rnacentral:rRNA from 1 species
AUGCAGUUCUCGCUUUCCAACAAGCGGACUGCCAAGGAGGCUUGGGACGCCAUCGCCGCAGCACGCAUCGGCAGCGACCGUGCUCGCAAGUCCACCCUGCAGGCACUUCGUAAGGAGUGGGAGAACCUGGGCUUCAAGCCAGGUGAGGACGUUGAUGACUUUGCUCUCCGUCUCAACACUCUGCUGCAGAAGAUGGUGAAGUUUGGCGAUGCCACCUACACCGAGGAGAGAGCUGUCGAGAAGCUUUUUCGGUGCAUUCCCGAGAAGUACAAGCAGAUGGCUCGCUCGAUCGAGUCGUUGCUGGACCUCUCCACGAUGACGAUCGAGGAGGCGAUAGGCCGUCUCAAGGUCGUCGACACCGACGAGCCACAGCCUCCCUCGGGGCCCAUCACCACCGGUGGGAAGUUGCUCCUAACUCGGGAGCAGUGGGAUCCCAGCCUUGGUGACAGGAAGAAGGGGGAGCCUUCUUCCACGACGGGCGGCCGCAAGCCCAAAAGCACACGCUCUUCUCGGCGAUGGCUCCGGGAAGGACAAGACUGA